AUACAUGAUUUAAAUGUCAAACAUAGUGGACUUUAUUCCAUCGACAUCAACAGUAAAGAGCAGGAACACAGAUUCCACUUGAAAGUGUUGGAGCGGGUCCCUAAACCUGUGAUAAGAACAGAGAAGAGCAGUAACCCUGAUGUUGUGUAUUUAAUAUGCGAGUGAACAAUCGUCUGGAAGAAUUCUGCCGCAGAAACACUGAAGCGCUCAAAGCACCAUCUAAAAGGAGAGUUCAUCACAGUUGAAAAACAAGGAAAUCCAGAAAACUUCUACACCUGCACACUCGAGCACGCCGUGAGUGAAGCGACCAGUGAUCCGGUCUGUGAGAGAGAUCUGUUUAAUGAUUUGAACACAAGUCUUGUCGUUGCAAUUGCCAUUUCUUUGAUCACUGCGGUUAUUAUCAUCCUUUUUCUCAUUAAAAUUCCUUUUCACGAUUAUUGUGCUGCUUGCAGUGGAAGACCCAAGAUUUACGAGAAAACAGCUGAUACGUGAAUGUUAGAUGCUGCAUCAGCUACACACUUCUGCUCAUCAUGAAUCCUCCAAAGCCCAAC